GACGAACGCUGGCGGCGUGCCUAAUACAUGCAAGUAGAACGCUGAAGGAGGAGCUUGCUUCUCUGGAUGAGUUGCGAACGGGUGAGUAACGCGUAGGUAACCUGCCUGGUAGCGGGGGAUAACUAUUGGAAACGAUAGCUAAUACCGCAUAAGAGUAGAUGUCGCAUGACAUUUGCUUAAAAGGUGCACUUGCAUCACUACCAGAUGGACCUGCGUUGUAUUAGCUAGUUGGUGAGGUAACGGCUCACCAAGGCAACGAUACAUAGCCGACCUGAGAGGGUGAUCGGCCACACUGGGACUGAGACACGGCCCAGACUCCUACGGGAGGCAGCAGUAGGGAAUCUUCGGCAAUAGACGGAAGUCUGACCGAGCAACGCCGCGUGAGUGAAGAAGGUUUUCGGAUCGUAAAGCUCUGUUGUAAGAGAAGAACGAGUGUGAGAGUGGAAAGUUCACACUGUGACGGUAUCUUACCAGAAAGGGACGGCUAACUACGUG
rnacentral:rRNA from 1 species